CAAAUGGAGAAAUUGCAAAGGUCAUCACAAAGUCAGGCUUGCUGCAGAAGAUAGCACUGUGGGUGAACAGGAGAUACCCAAAGCUCCAGCUUCUGGACUGACUUACUCCAUUUGCUACCUUCUACUUUAAGCCUAGAUGACCAGAUGGAGAAUGGCUGCCCAGGCCGCUAGGGAAAAUCAGGACAUGUCUCCAGGGGCAAAUGCCUAGGCUCCAAAGCUCUUGCUACCAUCUAGAGGGAUGAAGCAGAUAAGAAGACUGAGGCUCAGAGAAGCAAAGCAGCCCAUCCAAGUUUCCCCAAUGAACAUGUUUAAAUGGAAGAGAGAGGAAUGAGAGAGGAAGGCAAGAAUACAAAUAUUUAAGAAAGCUUUAUUUUCCUGAAGCAAAGAAUGACACUUGAAACCGAGGGAAUCUCAAUGUCCACCUUGCAUUUCCAUGACCAGCAAGAGAGGGGAACCCCUACAGGAAUGUUCAUCCUCUGCCUCUGACCUGGGAAGUCUCAGUCAUCCCCGAGGACCAAUUCCAAAUGUCAAUUCAUUCACCACCAUUGCCCUUGUCAUUGCAUCCACUCCUCCUCUCUCUCUGACUUGUGUUAAUGGUAGGUAACUGUGUAUGAAUCUAGGCUGGGGGUUUGUCUUUGAGGUCAAGGACUAUUUCUGAUUCACUGUGUGUCUCCCUAAAUCCUUCUUCCACCCAGCAAAGAUGCUCAAAAUAUAUAUACAAAUGAUA
rnacentral:lncRNA from 1 species